GCCACCUUAGCUCAGGGGUAGAGCAACUCACUCGUAAUGAGUAGGUCCCGGGUUCAAAUCCCGGAGGUGGCUCCA
rnacentral:tRNA from 2 species